CGGAGUGGCGGAACUGGUAGACGCGCUGGACUCAAAAUCCAGUGAUCUUCGGGUUGUGAGGGUUCGAAUCCCUCCUCCGGC
rnacentral:tRNA from 1 species